rnacentral:tRNA from 1 species
GAGUAUAUAGCUUAGAGGUAGAGCGCACGCUUAGUGUGCACGAGGUCCUGGGUUCAAUCCCCAGUACUUUCA